rnacentral:rRNA from 1 species
UNUGACUUGAGUGCAGAAGGGGAGAGUGGAAUUCCAUGUGUAGCGGUGAAAUGCGUAGAUAUAUGGAGGANCACCAGUGGCGAAAGCGGCUCUCUGGUCUGUCACUGACGCUGAGGCUCGAAAGCGUGGGCAGCGAACAGGAUUAGAUACCCUGGUAGUNCACGCCGUAAACGAUGAGUGCUAGGUGUUAGGCCCUUUCCGGGGCUUAGUGCCGGAGCUAACGCAAUAAGCACUCCGCCUGGGGAGUACGACCGCAAGGUUGAAACUCAAAGGAAUUGACGGGGGCCCGCACAAGCGGUGGAGCAUGUGGUUUAAUUCGAAGCAACGCGAAGAACCUUACCAGGUCUUGACAUCCCGAUGCUAUUCUUAGAGAUAGGAAGUUACUUCGGUACAUCGGAGACAGGUGGUGCAUGGUUGUCGUCAGCUCGUGUCGUGAGAUGUUGGGUUAAGUCCCGCAACGAGCGCAACCCUUAUUGUUAGUUGCCAUCAUUAAGUUGGGCACUCUAGCGAGACUGCCGGUAAUAAACCGGAGGAAGGUGGGGAUGACGUCAAAUCAUCAUGCCCCUUAUGACCUGGGCUACACACGUGCUACAAUGGUCGGUACAACGAGUUGCGAGCCGGUGACGGCAAGCUAAUCUCUGAAAGCCGAUCUCAGUUCGGAUUGGAGGCUGCAACUCGCCUCCAUGAAGUCGGAAUCGCUAGUAAUCGCGGAUCAGCACGCCGCGGUGAAUACGUUCCCGGGCCUUGUACACACCGCCCGUCACACCACGAGAGUUUGUAACACCCGAAGUCGGUGAGGUAACCUUUUAGGGGCCAGCCGC